GGGUUGUGAGGUUAAGCGACUAAGCGUACACGGUGGAUGCCCUGGCAGUCAGAGGCGAUGAAGGGCGUGCUAAUCUGCGAUAAGCGCCGGUAAGGUGAUAUGAACCGUUAUAACCGGCGAUACCCGAAUGGGGAAACCCAGUGUGAUUCGUCACACUAUCAUUAACUGAAUCCAUAGGUUAAUGAGGCGAACCGGGGGAACUGAAACAUCUAAGUACCCCGAGGAAAAGAAAUCAACCGAGAUUCCCCCAGUAGCGGCGAGCGAACGGGGAGGAGCCCAGAGCCUGAAUCAGCAUGUGUGUUAGUGGAAGCGUCUGGAAAGGCGCGCGAUACAGGGUGACAGCCCCGUACACAAAAGCGCAUGUGCUGUGAGCUCGAUGAGUAGGGCGGGACACGUGGUAUCCUGUCUGAAUAUGGGGGGACCAUCCUCCAAGGCUAAAUACUCCUGACUGACCGAUAGUGAACCAGUACCGUGAGGGAAAGGCGAAAAGAACCCCGGCGAGGGGAGUGAAAAAGAACCUGAAACCGUGUACGUACAAGCAGUGGGAGCACCCUUUGGGUGUGACUGCGUACCUUUUGUAUAAUGGGUCAGCGACUUAUAUUCUGUAGCAAGGUUAACCGAAUAGGGGAGCCGGAGGGAAACCGAGUCUUAACCGGGCGUUAAGUUGCAGGGUAUAGACCCGAAACCCGGUGAUCUAGCCAUGGGCAGGUUGAAGGUUGGGUAACACUAACUGGAGGACCGAACCGACUAAUGUUGAAAAAUUAGCGGAUGACCUGUGGCUGGGGGUGAAAGGCCAAUCAAACCGGGAGAUAGCUGGUUCUCCCCGAAAGCUAUUUAGGUAGCGCCUCGUGAAUUCAUCUCCGGGGGUAGAGCACUGUUUCGGCUAGGGGGCCAUCCCGGCUUACCAACCCGAUGCAAACUGCGAAUACCGGAGAAUGUUAUCACGGGAGACACACGGCGGGUGCUAACGUCCGUCGUGAAGAGGGAAACAACCCAGACCGCCAGCUAAGGUCCCAAAGUCAUGGUUAAGUGGGAAACGAUGUGGGAAGGCCCAGACAGCCAGGAUGUUGGCUUAGAAGCAGCCAUCAUUUAAAGAAAGCGUAAUAGCUCACUGGUCGAGUCGGCCUGCGCGGAAGAUGUAACGGGGCUAAACCAUGCACCGAAGCUGCGGCAGCGACACUGUGUGUUGUUGGGUAGGGGAGCGUUCUGUAAGCCUGCGAAGGUGGCCUGUGAGGGUUGCUGGAGGUAUCAGAAGUGCGAAUGCUGACAUAAGUAACGAUAAAGCGGGUGAAAAGCCCGCUCGCCGGAAGACCAAGGGUUCCUGUCCAACGUUAAUCGGGGCAGGGUGAGUCGACCCCUAAGGCGAGGCCGAAAGGCGUAGUCGAUGGGAAACGGGUUAAUAUUCCCGUACUUGGUGUUACUGCGAAGGGGGGACGGAGAAGGCUAUGUUGGCCGGGCGACGGUUGUCCCGGUUUAAGCGUGUAGGCUGGUUUUCCAGGCAAAUCCGGAAAAUCAAGGCUGAGGCGUGAUGACGAGGCACUACGGUGCUGAAGCAACAAAUGCCCUGCUUCCAGGAAAAGCCUCUAAGCAUCAGGUAACAUCAAAUCGUACCCCAAACCGACACAGGUGGUCAGGUAGAGAAUACCAAGGCGCUUGAGAGAACUCGGGUGAAGGAACUAGGCAAAAUGGUGCCGUAACUUCGGGAGAAGGCACGCUGACACGUAGGUGAAGUGAUUUACUCAUGGAGCUGAAGUCAGUCGAAGAUACCAGCUGGCUGCAACUGUUUAUUAAAAACACAGCACUGUGCAAACACGAAAGUGGACGUAUACGGUGUGACGCCUGCCCGGUGCCGGAAGGUUAAUUGAUGGGGUCAGCGCAAGCGAAGCUCCUGAUCGAAGCCCCGGUAAACGGCGGCCGUAACUAUAACGGUCCUAAGGUAGCGAAAUUCCUUGUCGGGUAAGUUCCGACCUGCACGAAUGGCGUAAUGAUGGCCAGGCUGUCUCCACCCGAGACUCAGUGAAAUUGAACUCGCUGUGAAGAUGCAGUGUACCCGCGGCAAGACGGAAAGACCCCGUGAACCUUUACUAUAGCUUGACACUGAACAUUGAGCCUUGAUGUGUAGGAUAGGUGGGAGGCUUUGAAGUGUGGACGCCAGUCUGCAUGGAGCCGACCUUGAAAUACCACCCUUUAAUGUUUGAUGUUCUAACGUGGACCCGUUACCCGGGUUGCGGACAGUGUCUGGUGGGUAGUUUGACUGGGGCGGUCUCCUCCUAAAGAGUAACGGAGGAGCACGAAGGUUGGCUAAUCCUGGUCGGACAUCAGGAGGUUAGUGCAAUGGCAUAAGCCAGCUUGACUGCGAGCGUGACGGCGCGAGCAGGUGCGAAAGCAGGUCAUAGUGAUCCGGUGGUUCUGAAUGGAAGGGCCAUCGCUCAACGGAUAAAAGGUACUCCGGGGAUAACAGGCUGAUACCGCCCAAGAGUUCAUAUCGACGGCGGUGUUUGGCACCUCGAUGUCGGCUCAUCACAUCCUGGGGCUGAAGUAGGUCCCAAGGGUAUGGCUGUUCGCCAUUUAAAGUGGUACGCGAGCUGGGUUUAGAACGUCGUGAGACAGUUCGGUCCCUAUCUGCCGUGGGCGCUGGAGAACUGAGGGGGGCUGCUCCUAGUACGAGAGGACCGGAGUGGACGCAUCACUGGUGUUCGGGUUGUCAUGCCAAUGGCACUGCCCGGUAGCUAAAUGCGGAAGAGAUAAGUGCUGAAAGCAUCUAAGCACGAAACUUGCCCCGAGAUGAGUUCUCCCUGAGACUUAAAGUCUCCUGAAGGAACGUUGAAGACGACGACGUUGAUAGGCCGGGUGUGUAAGCGCAGCGAUGCGUUGAGCUAACCGGUACUAAUGAACCGUGAGGCUUAACCUUACAACGCCGAAG
rnacentral:rRNA from 1 species